rnacentral:rRNA from 1 species
UAAUACGGAGGGUGCAAGCGUUAUCCGGAUUCACUGGGUUUAAAGGGUGCGUAGGUUGAUAGGUAAGUCAGUGGUGAAAUACUCCGACUCAAUCGGAGAACUGCCGUUGAUACUAUCUAUCUUGAAUACGGUGGAGGCGGGCAGAAUGCGUCAUGUAGUGGUGAAAUACUUAGAUAUGACGCAGAAUACCCAUUGCGAAGGCAGCUCGCUACGCCGGCAUUGACACUGAGGCACGAAAGCGUGGGGAUCAAACAGGAUUAGAUACCCUGGUAGUCCACGCCCUAAACGAUGUUCACUCGAUCUCAGCGAUAUACUGUUGGGGUCUAUGCAAAAGCAUUAAGUGAACCACCUGGGGAGUACGAUCGCAAGAUUG